CGCGGGGUAGAGCAGUCCGGUAGCUCGUGAGGCUCAUAACCUCAAGGCCGCAGGUUCGAAUCCUGCCCCCGCAA
rnacentral:tRNA from 1 species